AGCAGCCGCGGUAAUUCCAGCUCCAAUAGCGUAUAUUAAAGUUGUUGCAGUUAAAAAGCUCGUAGUUGAAUUUCGAGAUCAAUUUGUCGGUCGUGCCUCGGUACGUACUGGCAUUAUUGAUUUCUCCCUUCUGAAGAACCGCGAUGUCAUUAAUUUGGUGUCGUGGGGAAUCAGGACUGUUACUUUGAAAAAUUAGAGUGUUUAAAGCAGGCGCACGCUUGAAUACAUUAGCAUGGAAUAAUGAAAUAGGACGUUUGAUUCUAUUUUGUUGGUUUCUAGGAUCGACGUAAUGAUUAAUAGGGAUAGUUGGGGGCAUUAGUAUUCAAUUGUCAGAGGUGAAAUUCUUGGAUUUAUUGAAGACUAACUACUGCGAAAAGCAUUUGCCAAGGAUGUUUUCAUUAAUCAAAGAACGAAAAGUUAGGGGAUCGAAGACGAUCAGAUACCGUUGUAGUCUAACCAUAAACUAAUGCCGACUAGGGAUCGGAUGAUGUAAUUUU
rnacentral:rRNA from 1 species